ACAUCAAUCUUUACACCCCUGGGCUCUGGCCCUCUUCGUAUAUGACCCGAGGCCCGAUAUAAACAACCCAAGUACCCAACAGAGUCCUAAUACCGUCACUCAUCGCGCACGGCGCACCCCUCUCGCUCUCUCCGGUGUCCACCUCACCUGCGGCUACUCAAUCUACGACUCCGUAAAUAUUUUGGGUAGCGGUGUAGCAGAAGAAAGAAGCUAACAAUGAGAGGAGAAAAUGGAAGAAAAAUGUUGGAGAAGAUGAUGGAUGUAAAAGAAGCCAAAAAGCAGAUAUUAUUCUCAUUGCCAAUGAUACUCACUAAUGUGUUUUACAGUCUAAUUCCGGUGGUUUCAGUUAUGUUUGCCGGUCAUCUCGGUCAGCUACAAUUGGCUGGCUCUACUCUUGCCAAUUCUUGGGCUACUGUCACUGGUUUUUCUUUCAUGCUCGGCUUAAGUGGUGCACUCGAGACAUUAUGUGGACAAGGAUUUGGUGCAAACUUGUACAAAAUCCUAGGGAUUUACCUCCAAGCAUCAUGUAUAAUCUCACUCCUUUUCUCCAUAAUCAUAUCCGUACUAUGGUGGUUUACGGAACCCAUCUUAAACUUACUCCAUCAAACUCCUGAUAUUUCCAAAGAAGCAGCACUCUACAUGAGAUUUCUAAUACCAGGAAUAUUCGCGUAUGGCAUCUUACAGAACAUCUUAAGGUUCCUACAGACACAAUCUGUUGUUUUUCCUUUAGUUGUGUUGUCUUUUGUUCCGUUGCUUUUGCAUUGUGGCCUUAGCUAUUUGCUGGUUCAUUUCACAACCCUUGGUUAUAAGGGAGCAGCAUUGGCUACCUCUAUAACGUUUUGGUUUUCAGUUAUGAUUUUGAUUAUAUAUGUGAAUUACGCUAAGAAAUUCGAGCAUACUUGGAAAGGGUUAUCGAAGGAAGCGUUUUGUCAUGUCUUUGCCAACUUGAAAUUGGCAUUACCUUCUGCUGCUAUGGUUUGUCUUGAGUACUCUGCGUUUGAAAUCUUGGUGUUGUUGGCUGGCCUCAUGCCGAAUCCUGAAACAACUACUUCUCUCAUUGCAAUCUGGUCUUAUCGUGCUUUUACCAAUAAAAAUCGGUCCCAGGCGCGGCCCACGACUUCGUGUCGGGCUUGGGGCCGACACACCAAGUCCAUUUGUAUCAUGUUGGCCUGUCCGGUGUGCCUAAGCCUAAUUUUAUUGUGCUUUAUCGUGUCGGGUCUUAUCGUGCUUCUCCCAAAAAAUGCAGCCCCAGGCUCGGCCCACGACUUUGUGCCCGUGUCGGCUCGUGCCUUGUUCUUGUCAGAUCGGGCCUCUGGUCGGGCCGGCACACAACCUUCUUUACGUAUGGCAAGAUUUUUUUUGUUAAAUUUGAUUAAUAUAUUAAUUUGACAUCUUCCUCUUACCAGUGUUAAUACAGAAUCAAUUGCUUACAUGUGUACUUACGGGUUGAGUGCUGCAGCAAGGUUUCUUUCUUCUUCAUUUCCUCAACUUUUUCUUUGGGGCUUCUAAUGUUAUUUGAUUACAGUUAUUACUAUUAAGAGUUAACUUUUCCAUGAUAUAGUACAAGAGUUUCAAAUGAGCUUGGAGCUGGGAAACCGAACCAAGCAAAACUAGAGCUGGCAAAAAUUGACCCAACCCACCAACCCAACCCGAACCCAACCCAAUAAUAAAGGGUUGGGUCAAGAUUUUCAACCCGUUUAAUUAAAUGGGUCAACCCAACCCAACCCGUUUAAUUAAAUGGGUUGGGUUAGGUUGAAAUGUUCAACCCGAAAACAACCCGCCUAACCCGUUUAAGUUCAAGCAAGUAUGUAAUAUAAAUCUGUAGAAUUUUAUUUAAAAUAUUUUAUUUCUCAUUUUUCCUUCAAAAAUGAAUAAUUAUUUGACAUUUUGAUACAUGUCAAAUACAUAUUUAAGUAUUACUUUUUUCUAUGAGAUAUGCCACAAAAAUAUCACCUCGCGACUCUAUAGUUAAGUCAAUUUACACUUAAAAGUGAAAAAAAAAAAUUAAACGGUUCAACUUCAGGUCAACCCGUUUAUAAUUGGGUUGGGUUGGGUUGAAAAUUUCAACCCGUUUAAUUAAACAGGUCGGGUUGGGUUGGGAAAAUCUCAACCCGUUUAUAAAUGGGUCGACCUGAUUUCGACCCAACCCAACCCAUUGCCAAUGGGCGUAACAUUAAAGUUGUCGGUUCUUCUAUCCACUCUUGUUCUUCUUGCUUUAGGUUUGGGACAUAACAUUUGGGCAGGCUUCUUCAGCAGAAAUGCCAGUAUAAUCAAAGCAUUUGCUUCUAUGACUCCUCUACUUUGCAGUUCAAUAUUCUUGGACUCGAUUCAAGGCAUACUAUCAGGUUAUCACAUUCUAAUGUCAUUUACCAACGAGGUUUUUGACCUAGUCUUAACUGAUGAUCUAUGUACAAUAGGUCUCAUUUCGAAUCCCCCAGCCACCAUUUGUAAUUUAUAUUGCCUUUGUGGUUCAUUUGCACCGUGAAAAAAAAAACAUUCUAACGUUGUUUUCACCCUCGUUACUUGCUUCGCUAUUCAGUAUUCAUCCAUCCAAUUCUAUUGUGCUGAAUUAUUAUUAUUUUUGGCAUGAAACAGGGGUAUGCAGGGGAUGUGGUUGGCAGCACUUAGCUGUGUACAUAAAUUUGGGGACAUUCUAUGCCAUUGGAAUGCCCAUUGCAUACUUGGUUGCCUUUAAGCUUCAUCUGUAUGCCAAGGGUCUUUGGAUCGGCUUAAUCUGCGGCCUCGUCGUUCAAUCUGCUUCGCUUUUUCUGAUUACCCGACUGCAUAAAUGGAAAGCACUUGAGCUCUCUCCCAAUGGCAACGAAAAUUCAAUUCCGGUCUAAUUAGAGUAGCAAAGAACGUUGUGUACUACUAAUCAGUUACUCCGUAUUGCAAAAACAAAAAGAAGAUAGUUUAACUUAGUAACCAUCUGACAGUAAGGGUAGGUUAGUUGUUGAAGGUUAAGUUAGGGUACAGCCUUGAGAGAAAGCUACCAUAACUUUGUUGUAUCUUUCUAAAAAAAAAAAAUUGUUGAAGGUGGAUAAUCAUUUUGCUCCACUCUAUUGAAUUGCUUUUAACUUCAGUUUGCAGGACAUGUAGUUGAGGAAAAAUGGGCGAAUUUGAUUUUGUUUCUUUUU